rnacentral:rRNA from 1 species
UACGUAGGGUGCAAGCGUUGUCCGGAAUUAUUGGGCGUAAAGGGCUCGUAGGCGGUCCAUCGCGUCGGGAGUGAAAAGCUGGGGCUUAACCCCAGUCCUGCUUCCGAUACGGGUGGACUAGAGGUAGGUAGGGGAGAACGGAAUUCCUGGUGUAGCGGUGAAAUGCGCAGAUAUCAGGAGGAACACCAAUGGCGAAGGCAGCUCACUGGGACGGUAUUGACGCUGAGACGCGAAAGCGUGGGGAGCAAACAGG